UACGGAGGAUGCGAGCGUUAUCCGGAUUUAUUGGGUUUAAAGGGUGCGCAGGCGGUACGGAAAGUCAGCGGUAAAAUUACGGAGCUCAACUCCGCCGAGCCGUUGAAACUUCCGCACUAGAGUGAGCGAGAAGUAAGCGGAAUGCGUGGUGUAGCGGUGAAAUGCAUAGAUAUCACGCAGAACGCCGAUUGCGAAGGCAGCUUACCGGCGCUCAACUGACGCUCAGGCACGAAAGUGCGGGUAUCGAACAGG
rnacentral:rRNA from 2 species